rnacentral:rRNA from 1 species
UACGUAGGGUGCGAGCGUUAAUCGGAUUUACUGGGCGUAAAGCGUGCGCAGGCGGCCCGUUAAGACAGAUGUGAAAUCCCUGGGCUCAACCUAGGAAUUGCGCUUCUGACUGGCGGGCUCGAGUACGGUAGAGGGGGGUGGAAUUCCUGGUGUAGCAGUGAAAUGCGUAGAGAUCAGGAGGAACGCCGAUGGCGAAGGCAGCCCCCUGGGCCUAUACUGACGCUCAUGCACGAAAGCGUGGGGAGCAAACAGG